rnacentral:lncRNA from 1 species
GGAGGAAGGGAGGAGGGGAGGGGGCACGUGAGAAGAGAGGAGAAAUGGGGUGUAGGGUUUGGGAAUAUGAAAUACGACAGUGAGGAGAAAGGAAUGAGUAGUAUAGGGUUUUAAUUGUUUAACUGGUCAAUUAAAAAAAAGUAGCAGUACAGAUUCUCUAACAUGGACAAAAAUAAAAAAAAAAAAAUAGAGAGAUGGAAGUUGAGAUGGGUGAGGUGCACAGAGAAAUACUCUUCAUAUAAUUACACCGAAAUUAUUAAAUAGUAAUCAAUUUUAAAGACUAAAAUAAUUAGUUAUUAUUGACUAAGUUGUGUAUCAUAUUAUAAAUUGAAAAUUAUUGAUAUCUAUAAUAGUAUUUAUUAAGAAUAAAAAAUUAUAAU